GACGAACGCUGGCGGCGUGCUUAACACAUGCAAGUCGAACGAUGAAGAAGAGAAACGCGAACUUCGGUUCAAAUUUCACUUCGGAUUAGUGGCAGACGGGUGAGUAACGCGUGAGCAACCUACCUCUUACAAAGGGAUAGCCUCGGGAAACCGUGAUUAAUACCAUAUGACACAUUCAUAAGGCAUCUUAAGAAUGUUAAAGCUACGGCGGUAAGAGAUGGGCUCGCGUCCCAUUAGCUAGUUGGUGAGGUAACGGCCCACCAAGGCGACGAUGGGUAACCGGCCUGAGAGGGUGAACGGUCACAUUGGAACUGAGACACGGUCCAAACUCCUACGGGAGGCAGCAGUGGGGAAUAGUGCACAAUGGAGGGAACUCUGAUGCAGCGACGCCGCGUGAGCGAUGAAGGAAUUCGUUUCGUAAAGCUCUGUUCUAUGGGAAGAAAAGGACUGUACCAUAGGAGAAAGCCCCGGCUAAAUACGUG
rnacentral:rRNA from 1 species